rnacentral:lncRNA from 10 species
CCCAGGCCACAGCCAAAUGGAACCAUCUGCACCAUGAAGCUGAAGAUAAAGCCGCAGAAAGAUUGCUGUAUUGUGAGUGGAGAAGAGGCCUGCUUCUCUUCACUGGCUGAUGUGCAGACAUUUAUUAGUAAAUCUUCACGGCGGUCUAGGGAGGCCUUUGACUGAGCGCUGUUCAUCGAGUCCAGCCCCGGCUUUGCAAAUAAACAGCUGACACCAAGAGAGGAGAAGCAACACGGCUGAGGCCACAGGGUGACAAAGCCUUAACAGGUAUCAGCUCUCUGGCUGGCCAUUCACAUCCUCAUUGGUCUCUGGAUUGUUCUGGUCCAGCUUAACCUUAGCAUACAGCAAAGAAGAGAUGGGAAAGAGACAAAGGAGGGGUCCACUUUCUUGCAGAGAAAUGGAGAGACAGGAAGGGGGUCCAAGGCAGUCAAGCGCCCCUCAGAGCAAGGAGGACAAGUGCUCUGGGCAUAGGGUGGGGGGUCUGGGGGACAUAUCUGGGUGGGAGCCGAGUGGGCGUGCAAAUAAACAGCAGAGCCCAAAGAAGGGGAGAAGGCAGUCAUCUGGAAACGAGGAAGACAGCCCUCACCAGAAACUGACACUGUUGGACCUCGAUCUUGGACUUGCAGCCUCUAGAAUUGCAAGAAAAUAAAUUUAAGCUGUGGACUCUGU